rnacentral:rRNA from 1 species
UGAUCAUAGUAACUUUUCGAAUCGCAUGAACUUUACGUCGGCGAUGGUUCAUUCAAAUUUCUGCCCUAUCAAGUUUCGAUGGUAGGAUAGAGGCCUACCAUGCUUUUUACGGGUAACGGCGAAUUAGGGUUCGAUUCCGGAGAGGGAGCCUGAGAAACGGCUACCACAUCUAAGGAAGGCAGCAGGCGCGCAAAUUACCCAAUCCUGAUUCAGGGAGGUAGUGACAAUAAAUAACAAUCCAGGACUUCGGUCUUGGAAUUGGAAUGAGAACAAUUUAAAUCUCUUAUCGAGGAACAAUUGGAGGGCAAGUCUGGUGCCAGCAGCCGGGGUAAUUCCAGCUCCAAUAGCGUAUAUUAAAGUUGUUGCAGUUAAAUAGCUCGUAGUUGAAUCUUGGGGCUGGUUUGGCGGUCGCGUCUUUGAACGUGUACUGUCAGCCGGUUCUUUUACUUGUGGGGAACGUAUGUGGCCCUUUGCGGGGGUGUGUACGGGAACCAUGGCUGUUACUUUGAAAAAAUUAGAGUGUUAAAGCGGGCGUAAAGUUGUAUACUUAGCAUGGAAUAAUAGAAUUAGGACUUUGGGUUCAUUUGUGGGUCCUAGGGGCCGAAGUUAAUUGAUUAAAUAAGGGAUAAGUUUGGGGGGCAUUAAGGUAUUUCACAUAGUCCAAGAGGGUGGAAAUUCUUGGGAUUUAUUGGAAG